rnacentral:rRNA from 1 species
GAUGAACGCUGGCGGCGUGCCUAAUACAUGCAAGUCGAGCGAACAGACGAGAAGCUUGCUUCUCUCAUGUUAGCGGCGGGCGGGUGUGUAACACGUGGAUAACCUACCUAUAUGACUGGGAUAAUUUCGGGACACGGUCGCUAAUCCCGGAUAAUAUUUUGAACCGCAUGGUUCAAAAGUGAAAGACGGUCUUGCUGUCACUUAUAGAUGGAUCCGCGCUGCAUUAGCUAGUUGGUAAGGUAACGGCUUACCAAGGCAACGAUGCAUAGCCGACCUGAGAGGGGGAUAGGCCACACGGGAACUGAGACACGGUCCAGACUACUACGGGAGGGAGCAGAAGGGAAUCUGCCGCAAUGGGCGAAAGUAUGACGGAGCAACGGCGAGUGAGUGAUGAAGGUCUUCGGAUCGUAAAACUCUGUUAUGAGGGAAGAACAUAUGUGUAAGUAACUGUGCACAUCGUGACGGUACCGAAUCAGAAAGCCACGGCUAACUACGUG